rnacentral:lncRNA from 1 species
UACACCACUCCUGAGAAGAAUAAGCGUAAGCGAAAGAAGGUGAAGCUGGCUGUCCUGAAAUACUGUAAGGUGGAUGAGAAUGGCAAAAUAAGUCGCCUUCAUCUAGAGUGCUCUUCAGAUGAAUGUGGUACUGGAGCGUUUAUGGCCAGCCACUUUGACAGACAUUAUUGUGACAAAUGUCUCAUUGCUUCAGCAAACCAGAAGACAAUUAA